CCAGUAUGGGGCGGAAAAGCACCAUCUAGGUUGGCUGCCAAUCGCCAAUAAACACCAAAGAAGAAAGAAAGCUCCGGCGUGGCGGGUGGAAAAAGAUGUUUACUGAUCGGCGUAGAAUCAGACUGAAAUACUUCAGUCGAACACGUGGGUGGGGGUGAACCGAUGAAGAAGAGGAAUGAAGGUGGAUUCAUUGUUCAUCUCGAUGACCAGAGACUUCCUCAUGUUUCAUAAGAAAUCUGAGGUUAAAAAUCUCUGAAGUCUGCAUUAAAUCAGGAGAUCAAGAUCCAUUAAUGAGGUGCUGGAUUUGUGAGAAGAGACAAGACUGAAGCUGUAAAUUCAUUUUGCUGUAUACUAUGCUGUAGAGUGUAGUCUACUGUGUGUAGUUUGAUGGACAUUUCUGGUCUAUAUACACUGCUCAAAAAAAUAAAGGGAACACUUAAACAACACAAUGUAACUCCAAGUCAAUCACACUUCUGUGAAAUCAAAAUGCCCACUUAGGAAGCAACACUGACAAUCAAUUUCACAUGUUGUGCAAAUGGAAAAGACAACAGGUGGAAAUUCUAGGCAAUUAGCAAGACACCCCAAUAAAGGAGUGGUUCUGCAGGUGGUGACCACAGACCACUUCUCAGUUCCUAUGCUUUCUGGCUGAAGUUUUGGUCACUUUUGAAUGCUGGCGGUACUUUCAGGCUAGUGGUCGCAUGAGACGGAGUCUACAACCCACACAAGUUGCUCAGGUAGUGCAGCUCAUCCAGGAUGGCACAUCAGUGCGAGCUGUGGCAAGAAGGUUUGCUGUGUCUAUCAGCGUAGUGUCCAGAGCAUGGAGGCACUACCAGGAGACGUGGAGGAGGCCGUAGUAGGGCAACAACCCAGCAGCAGGACCACUACCUCUGCCUUUCUGCAAGGAGGAAAAGGAGGAGCCCUGCAAAAUUACUUCUAGCGGGCCACAAAUGUGCAUGUGUCUGCUCAAACGGUCAGAAACGGACUCCCAUGAGGGUGGUUUGAGGGCCGUACGUCCACAGGUGGGGGUUGUGCUUAUAGCCCAACACCGGGCAGGACGUUUGGCAUUUGCCAGAGAAGACCAAGAUUGGCAAAUUCGCCACUGGCGCCCUGUGCUCUUCUAGACGUGACAGAGUCUGGAGAUGCCAUGGAGAACGGUCUGCUGCCUGCAACAUCCUCCAGCAUGACUGGAUUGGCAGUGGGUCAGUAAUGGUGUGGGAUGGCAUUUCUUUGGAGGGCCGCACAGCCCUCCAUGUGCCAGAGAUAGCCUGACUGCCAUUAGGUACCAAGAAGAGAUCCUCAGACCCCUUGUGAGACCAUAUGCUGGUGUGGUUGGCCCUGGGUUCCUCCUAAUGUAAGGUUUUGGGAUCAGUGUAAUUAAACCCUGACACAUUGUUGAUGGGAGUUUACCAUUAUUUAUAGCCUCCUGAAAAACUAACAAUAAAAAUUCCAAUAUGUAAAAAUUCUCUAGUAAGGCCAUCAUUGCCUGGGGAUUUAAUAUCUUUAAUUUACUUGUAUAUCUAUGUAUGGUUCCUAGCAAUGGGUUUUAGGUGUAUAGUUAUGUGCCUUGUCUUUCUUUUUUAAUUGAAACUUGUUUUGAAUAAAAUGAAAUAAAUAUUAGUAAAUUAUAUUAUCCACAACAGACCGAAUAGUAAUGUUUAACUUGUUACUUGAAAGUAGCUUAGUGUGAGUGAACAAGACAUUUAAAGUUUAAACUUUUGAAUUAUUUAGUUUCUCUCACACAAAAAAAACAUUUGACAAUAAUCCUUAUUAAUAUUUUGUUUUUAAUAUUAUUAACUAAUUUAGCAGAGCUAUUUAUA